ensembl:lncRNA
GAGAGAAAUUUCUACAGGAGUCUUUGGAGCGCUCCAGUUCUUGCACAGAAAUCUCCUGGAGGUAAUUAGCUUAUCCAUACAAGGCUGAACGCUACGCUACAGGAGGAGUUCUAAACCACCUCCUGUAAUUGGUCCUGAAGUCAAAACCUACUUCACUGAACAUGAAGCUGAAGGGAAACUGAAGAAUAUAGACUAGGAUUUCAACUUAAUCUGGGGAACUGUGGUAAGGAAUAUCCAUGAAAGGAGUGUGCCGCACUUCAAAAAUCCAGAAGGAGAAUGGAAAACUAAACUUGCAUAAGCCUGAGUACAGCACACAGAUGAUUUGAGAAGGAUGCCUCAGAACGUAAUGACAUUACAUGACUGAAGGCACAGUGCUGGUAUUGUGAUAUCUGGAUUUGAUGGUGAAAGAGUUGCAAGAAGGAAGAAUGACUUUCUCCCUCUGUAUCAAUGUGAGCUGAAUUUCUACCUGAUAACAACGUUCAGCUAUUCCAUACUGUCCUGAGGAAUCCCUGACAAACGUGAGAGAAAUUAAAUACUGAUGUUGUAGACUUUGUGCAGUAGCACAGCUCUGGAGAAUGCUAAGAAGAAAUCCUCUGUGUGUUCUCCUGAAUCAUAAAGGCUGGUAAGAAUGAGAAGCCUAACUCAUCAUUAAUCCACAGGCAAAGUACUAUUCAAGCAGCUGUAGUGAAAGCUCUCGUAUGCUGCCCUGGAAAUAACCCCAGCCUUGACGUGGUAAAAUGACCCUAGGUGUCAGUGACACAACACCGCCACCAUGCAGUGAGUUGGAUGGAUGCCUGAAAAUAUGCUAGCCCUUCAGAGUUCCAGCAGCCCUCCCAGAACUGCAUGCAGUACUGCAUUCACUCCAGGACACAAAAUGAACUUUUGUAGUAGAAUCAAGGACAUGGAAAUAACAAAACCUACGGACACAAUCGACUUACAGUGUUCAGUAAGGCUCUUCUGCUGCGAGAAAAAUUGAGACUUCAUAGAAACCGUGUCACCAAGCCCUUUGAAUCAGGUAAUGUCACAUCUAACUUGCAGUAUUGAGUGCUAGCUCCCGUAAAAUAUUGUUCCUGCUAUUUAAAUACUGCUGCACUCUUCACUCUACAGAACCUGGCCCCAUGCAAAACCUUUUAGACUUCAGUGUCUCUUUGCUUCAGGGCCUAACCUCGGGUUCAUAAAAUAUUUGUAGCUGUCAGCCCAGUGCAUCCACAGAAACUGCACAGAUGCAGAAAGCCUAUCUGAUGUAGUGUUAGUAAGAAUAAUUUAGAGCUGCAAAUAUUUAGCAGAUUUUUAACAGAUACAUAUAUAUACACUACAUAUGUAAAUGCAUACAUAUCAGACAAAGUAUACAUGAGAAAAUCUGUGAUUGCUUUGGUGAUGGUACAUCCAAACUGGGCUGUUAGCAAUGAAAAAUGUCUUUAACAUAUCAAGACAGUACUUGAAAGUUCAGUUACAUCUUUACAUUUGUGAUACUCAGUCUUGUUUCAUAUUGGAGGUUGCUGACGAGACAUGUCAUUUUAACACUUUUUUACUGCUCUGUUAUAAUUCUGUCAAGCCUUGGUCCUUUGCUCUCAAAAACUGCAGGACAGAAUAUCUGCCCUGGCCUCCAGAUCUGUCUUUUGUAUGUUUUUAGCUAAUUGGAAAAGUGAAGCCACCUAGGAGCUAACACACAGCUUUAUUUGUGGUUAUGAUCACAGAAUGCAUGAGGUUUGGUUCUUGGUAUGCGUUGUGUUGCUGUGUUCUGCACUUGGCUACUUGCAGUGCCCAUCCAGUGCCUGGAGGACAGGGGGAAAUAAGGAAGAGCCUGGCUUGGAAUUUGGGAGUGCUAUAUUAAAUGUGAGAAAGAGAGAUCAAGUCAUGAAUUGUGCCUGUAUUUAGCCUGUGUGAAGCACUGCCUAAGUGCAGAAUACUGCUGGUCCUUCGUUUCGCUACAGAAAAUGAAUUCUGGUAUGUUGUGCAGCAGAUAAACCCUCAAGGAAAUCAACACUGUGGUUCUCAGGAUUUGAAUGAUGUACAAUAAAUAAGGCCUGAGGUCACAUAAUGAACGUCAUUAAGGGAAAUAAAACAUGAAAUAGCUGUGUGUUAAGCUGAUGGCAUGCGUUCUGUGCGCUGCAUGAGGAAAGAGUCUGUGAGAAGAGUGGUGUGUUAUCAAGUGACUGCAGUCAGUGCCUCAGUUCAGAAGCAGAGGAAAGAUAGUGUCAGCUGGUGUUUCUGAACUGACAAUUGCAACUGACAAUUUUAACGUAUAAUUAUGCAGUUAGCCUUUACAGGACCUCAGCUCUUCUGAUUCUGUCCUUUCCAAAAAUUGGCUCAUGUGCACUGUGCCACUGCCCAGUGUUACAGCAUGCUGGUUGGAACAGGCUGCUAUGUACUUUGUGUGUGCAGAAAUGAUCUUAGUAAUAGCAGGUAUUAGAUUCAGGCAUUUCUCCUUUCUUAGAGUUCUUUUCCUCCGUUAUGAGACAAGCUGGCAGAGUUCAGGACCAUGAUUUACAUAGUCAGGACUUCGCUGUACAGUGAGGCUGCAGCUCUCUCAAAUGCUGCUGUGCGGCAACUUGGCUUUAGAAGAACCAAUGUUUUCUUUUUCAUUUUGAGGUGAUGGUUUCUGACAAGCAGUUCCACUGGAAGUGGUGAUGCAGCGGCAGGGGCUGUGCGGGGCGGUGGUGCAGUCACCAUCCCUGGAUGUGUUGAAGAACCGUGGAGAUGUGGCAGUGAGGGACGUGGUCAGUGGGGAUGGGUUGGUGGAUUGGAUGUGGUGGCCUUUAGAGGUCUGUUCCAACCUUAAUGAUUCUGUGAUUCUGUGAGUAUAGGCAGGUUUUCAGGCAUUUGUUCUGAAAGCUUCUGGGUAGCAACGGUCUGCUUGUUUGUGCUAGGUGGAAGCCAACCGGUGCUCAUUUGGGCCGCUCAUGACAGCUUCACGUGAGCACAGAAAUAGGAGAUUUUACACAGAACGUCCAACAGACAGUGGGAUUUCAGUUUGGACGUUUCUGCAUUAAGCAUCUCAGGUUACACGGGAUAAUCCUCAUCCCGGGGAAAUUCAGUCGUCUUUUGAGUAGUGCUGCAGUGCAGGAACGCGGGAGCUCUUUAUCCCCCCUGGAUAUUUGUUUACAAGUAAAAAGCAUCCGUAAAGCUUUUCGCUCGCUUCUCCCCUUGGGGAUACCCCCGCUUGCGCCCGUUCGUAGCUUCUCCUUGCUGAGCCUCAACGGCGUCACAUCUGCCAGGCGAACGUACGGGACAGAGAGAGCUCCCGGCGGGAUUUGCGCGGGGAAGGCCGCUGGGAGGGGGUUAGUCAGGGUUUCCACCCUGGCCGGGACGCGGCUCUUUG